AGAAUGUGAUCAUCUUUGUGAUCUUACUUCUAAGUAAAAUGAAUCAUAGUUUUGAGCCAAGAAGCUUUCUCCUCAGGAAACAGCACUGAAGAACAGCAAGCUUCAAUGAGAACGUAUAAGUACCUUCAAAUAAUCCAAAAGAAAGAAGAAAUCAGAAUAGCUUUUGAAUAGCUCUACGUAUGUGUAGAAGUGGUUGCAAAAAUAUUUCUCAGCAAAGCAGAAUUUUGUGCCAACUAUUCUUGUUCAGAAAGAAAAAAAAGCUUUCAGUAAGACUUGAAAAGCCACAAGAAAGAUAGAAACCAAGCCAGAAAGGAC